AGACCCCAGUGUGGGGAGGAAGCCCCUGGGUCCCACAGAAGGUUAGUUUAGGGUCACCAGUCACAUAAUCUGUCUGUAAAAUUUCAUUCACUAUUUAUGCCACAGUUAAAUUUUGUGAGCUCUCCAAAAUGGUAGGUUAAAUUUUUGUCAAGUCCAAUAUUUAAAAGAUGGUAUUCGGAGUUCCCGUCGUGGCGCAGUGGUUAACGAAUCCGACUAGGAACCAUGAGGUUGCGGGUUCGGUCCCUGCCCUUGCUCAGUGGGUUAACGAUCCGGCGUUGCCGUGAGCUGUGGUGUAGGUUGCAGACGCAGCUCGGAUCCCGCGUUGCUGUGGCUCUGGCGUAGGCCAGUGGCUACAGCUCCGAUUGGACCCCUAGCCUGGGAACCUCCAUAUGCUGCGGGAGCGGCCCAAGAAAUAGCAAAAAGACAAAAAAAAAUAAAUAAAUAAAAGUUGGUAUUCAUUCUCUGAUUUUAGGUCCAGAAGGUGGAUAAACCUCUAAGAUAAUAGCAUGAAAUUUGCCAUAAUGAUAUCAUCAGCAGGUCAGAUGGGACACAAGCGUCUGUGGAUUUACUUUCAACUCCACUGCCACAUAUUAGUGGAGACUCCAGGAGUGGAUGAAUUUUUUGCAGAUGAGGCUCCUUCUCCUUGUCUCAACUUCUCUUCCAACUAAAAACUCCCAUAAAACACGCUAUCUGCAGAAUUCUCAGGAGGGAAGAGAAGGAGUUGAGCCAUAACCUCCUAACCUCUGCGGCACACCCUCGGCCAGCAACCUCAUUCUCCUUCUGGCAUUUGGAGGGCUCUGUGGAUCCCUUGCCCUCAGAAAUGCUAUCAACAUAAUGAAAGUUGAGAUGAAAAUUAAUCAUUUGCUGAGCUUCCUCCUGCAUCUGUUUUAAAACCUUCUGAGGGUGAGAGGAAUCUGUAGAACCUUGGAAGGCUGUGCUGGGAUUCCCACUGACUAUACUGGGAAAUCUGAGGUGAUCCAUUCGAAGCAGUUAUUAGGAAGAAAUGAGAUGACACUGUUUCUCAGCAUUUGAGAUCAAGAACCUCAGAUUGGAACAGGUAUUGUCCCUGAUUUCUCAUAGUUGUCU
rnacentral:lncRNA from 1 species